CGUCUGGAAAGGCGCGCGAUACAGGGUGACAGCCCCGUACACAAAAAUGCACAUGCUGUGAGCUCGAUGAGUAGGGCGGGACACGUGGUAUCCUGUCUGAAUAUGGGGGGACCAUCCUCCAAGGCUAAAUACUCCUGACUGACCGAUAGUGAACCAGUACCGUGAGGGAAAGGCGAAAAGAACCCCGGCGAGGGGAGUGAAAAAGAACCUGAAACCGUGUACGUACAAGCAGUGGGAGCACGCUUAGGCGUGUGACUGCGUACCUUUUGUAUAAUGGGUCAGCGACUUAUAUUCUGUAGCAAGGUUAACCGAAUAGGGGAGCCGAAGGGAAACCGAGUCUUAACUGGGCGUUAAGUUGCAGGGUAUAGACCCGAAACCCGGUGAUCUAGCCAUGGGCAGGUUGAAGGUUGGGUAACACUAACUGGAGGACCGAACCGACUAAUGUUGAAAAAUUAGCGGAUGACUUGUGGCUGGGGGUGAAAGGCCAAUCAAACCGGGAGAUAGCUGGUUCUCCCCGAAAGCUAUUUAGGUAGCGCCUCGUGAAUUCAUCUCCGGGGGUAGAGCACUGUUUCGGCAAGGGGGUCAUCCCGACUUACCAACCCGAUGCAAACUGCGAAUACCGGAGAAUGUUAUCACGGGAGACACACGGCGGGUGCUAACGUCCGUCGUGAAGAGGGAAACAACCCAGACCGCCAGCUAAGGUCCCAAAGUCAUGGUUAAGUGGGAAACGAUGUGGGAAGGCCCAGACAGCCAGGAUGUUGGCUUAGAAGCAGCCAUCAUUUAAAGAAAGCGUAAUAGCUCACUGGUCGAGUCGGCCUGCGCGGAAGAUGUAACGGGGCUAAACCAUGCAC
rnacentral:rRNA from 1 species